rnacentral:rRNA from 1 species
GAUGAACGCUGGCGGCGUGCCUAACACAUGCAAGUCGAACGGAGUUUACUCGCUGAUGAAGCUUCGGCAGAAUCUUGAGUAAACUUAGUGGCGGACGGGUGAGUAACGCGUGGGCAACCUGCCUCAUACUGGGGGAUAGCAGUUGGAAACGACUGAUAAUACCGCAUAAGCGCACGAGAUCGCAUGAUCUAGUGUGAAAAACUCCGGUGGUAUGAGAUGGGCCCGCGUCAGAUUAGCUAGUUGGUAAGGUAACGGCUUACCAAGGCGACGAUCUGUAGCCGGACUGAGAGGUCGGACGGCCACAUUGGGACUGAGACACGGCCCAAACUCCUACGGGAGGCAGCAGUGGGGGAUAUUGCACAAUGGAGGAAACUCUGAUGCAGCGACGCCGCGUGAGUGAAGAAGUAUUUCGGUAUGUAAAGCUCUAUCAGCAGGGAAGAAAGGCUCGUAAGAGAGAUGACGU